UAUAAAACCGCAAGUUCACAGUCAUGGAGAGUCAAACCGAUAAUUGGAACCGGAGACAUGAGACCGACAAGUGUUGGGGUACUGCUGUUCGCACUUGCGGCGAUAUUGAUCUCAUGCUGUUCAGCCUAUCAUAUUUCCGAUGAUUCUUCAAUUUUAUCUAGUAAUGUGAAUGAGUUAAUGAGGGAAAAGAGGCAGGUUGAAACAUUUGACACAGACGACUACCCCACAGCACAAAGCGAGGAUGCUCAAGACGAACCAAGCUUCUGGGACCGAGUCGUCAGUAUCGCAGUCAAACUCUUCAGUCGCUUCAUUGAAUGGUUAAAUGGUUAAUGCUUUGUAAAUAGUCAAAUA